rnacentral:lncRNA from 1 species
UUUUUUUUUGGAGUGAUUUGUGAAGUUAUCAAAAGAAUUGUGUUGAAUGGAGAGAUGGAGUCUUGGCUGAUGUAUAACAAUGAAUUCGUAGAGGUAUGGGGAGGAUGUGACUGCCUAUGUUCAUAGGUGUAUGGCUUAAUGUUUAAUUGGGGUUGCUUUGAAGUGGUGGUAGUACGUGAGUGAUAAGGGGGAAGCAUGGUAUAAGGUGGUUGAUUUGACAAUUAAAAUCCC